UCUGCUGUAUUGCUGCUAAGUAGGCCUUCUAAGCUGAGGGUCGCUGGUUCGAUUCCAGCCGGGCGCACCA
rnacentral:tRNA from 1 species